AAUUAUGGAAUCAGCUACAGUUAAUUAUCAAAGAAAACUUCGACAGUUAAUUGCCGCGGAGUUUUAAAAUUAAAAUUUAACACCUCAUGCUCUUUAUUAAAUGCAUACGUUAUAUCAUUUAAUAAAGAGUAUGUGGUGUUUGAUUUAAUUUAAUUUGAUAUUAACAUAAAUAAAUGGCAGAUAUGUGCAUGUGUGUUAAAUUUUAAUUUUGAAACUCCGCGGCAGUAACUGCCGAAGUUUUCCUCGGUAGUUAACUGCAAAAGUUUCCUCGAUA
rnacentral:pre_miRNA from 1 species